rnacentral:rRNA from 1 species
AUGGAGCGAACCAACUACUCGCUUGGACAAGCUUUGGUUCACGGUGGUCGGCCUACAAAUCGCUGCGGAAUCCCAGACAGAUCCGUCCUGGGGGAUUCCAGGAUCGAGGAUUUCGGGGGGCAUUUCUUCUUCGUAGGAGAUCCUCCCCAUUCCCAUCCGCACCACCACCCCCCACACUCCCCCGCGGUACAGGCGCAGCAGCACGCCAUCAUGGGCAUGGGCGCCACUGAGCCGUCGUCCGCGCCACCGCACCGCCCCGUCAGCAUGUCGGCGUGCUUGCCCUCCCCCUCGUGGUCGCCGCCCGGGCCCGGCGGCCGGCACCGCGCCGCCGUCGUCGUGCGGCGCCUGCAGGUGGCGGCGCGCGACGCCAUCCCGGGCGUGGGCUGGUGCGGGCACCGCGCGUGGCGCAAGCUGCUCCGGCGGCUGGCGCAGGAGACCCGGUGCAUCUGCAGCUCCCCGGCGCCGCCCUCCAGGCCCAGCACCUUCGGCUACGACGCCGUCAGCUACGCCAAGAACUUCGACGACGAGCGCCCCCACGCGCCCCACGCCCUCUCCUGCGCCGCCGCCGACAAGCCGGCCCGCCGCUGA